CUUAAAGUGAUCAAUGCUUUAACCAUCUCUUUAUAUUGAGUUUCAUAAAACCUUGAUAAAACUGGUCUAGAUAAGUUCCAGAAAUGGUGCUAUAAACUUUACCAGCUGCUAUAGUCCUACAGGAGGACUAGUGGCAUAUCAUAUUAGGUAUUAUCAGGCCAGAUAUAAUGUGAAUAUUUCUAAAGUUAAUUGUGCCUAUGGAAGAAUACCUCCUCUACCAUAUGCAUCAUAGAUAUGUAAAGGAUAUAAAGGACUACAAAAUGGACACGAAACAAAUAUGACACAAGUUUAAAACAUUUAAGUAAACCUAUUGAAGAUAGACAUCNNNNNNNNNNNNNNNNNNNNNNNNNNNNNNNNNNNNNUAAACAUUCAGAAUCAAUCAUGAAACUUAAUUCAAAAGAGUAUUACUACAUUCAUGGAUAAUUAAUUCAAUAUCCAACAUCCUUCAGGUAUGUUCUGUUGUCAUAGCCUUCCAUAUGCAAGGGGGCUUUCAAUGCUUAGCCUUCAUGCGACUAGUCAGAUGCUCGGAUUUCCUUAUUUUAGAAUGCCUCUUUUUCAUUAGAUGCUUCGUCUCCUCAAACAUCAUUCUUUGUGCCCACUUCAAGAAAUUUCCAAUACUUUCUCAUUCCAAAUGACACCUCCUAUUUUCUUAAAUUGUGCCUCUCACGAUCCCUAACCUCAAUCUUCUUUAAGGUACACCAUCCAAGGUACCAUGGAUCACACUCAAAGGAAGAGUUAUACAUACUUCAUAACACAAUAUUGUGACAACCUGCAAGACUUUCUUUGGAUCUCAAGACACAUUAAUAUUCUACAAGCAUAACUUUUCAAUCUUUUGACUAACAGACUAGACAUAAUAUUGAUGUAUCUUGAAACCCAUGCAACUAAAAAUUUGCCACGAAUCUUUGUAUAAUCAACUAUUGUCAAUAUCUAUAACUCUUUCUAUAAAAGGAAGAGUUUGUAAGUUAUUGAGAAGGUGCAUAAGUUAUUUGGAUGACAAGUUUGUGCCUCGCUUACAAUGCAACUCCAUUUAUUCUUGUAGUAUGUGUCUAUGUGAGGAUCCCGGCCUGUUCAGUAUCAGAACGUUCUCAAUAACCAUUAAAACACCUCAGACAGAGAACCAUCCCACUAUGCUUUCUUGUUCUCUUUCUUCUUCUCUGACUCAACCUUUACCUAGCAGCAGCAUUAGGUGAAGUGUUAGCAAAGCAAGAACUCACUCUCAAUUUAUACUAUAUUCGUUUACAGUCUAAUCUCUUCUCCAUUCUUAAUUGUCAUCUUUUUUUCUUUUGUACUUUUUAGCUAUUUUCCUACUUCUUUUCAUUGCUUACUUUUCCCAAAUAGAAUAACACUCAAUAAUUAAACACUGCAACUUAUUGCUAAAUCGUUGACAUUCAACAUUUCACAGCUUUUAUAGUAAAAAUAAAAAAAAAAACAUUUUUUUUGACAAAACAUUUCACAGCUUUUAGGGAUAUAAAGUUAGAGAUAAUUUGCAUCUCUAAAGAAAACUAACCUAAAUAACCCAUUCAUCUAGGCCAAAGAAGCUACUAAUACAAAAAAAAAAUAAUAAUAAACACCGAGUAUAUAAUUAACUUAAGACAACAAGAAAG
rnacentral:lncRNA from 1 species